UUAAAACUUUCAACAACGGAUCUCUUGGUUCCGGCAUCGAUGAAGAACGCAGCGAAAUGCGAUACGUAAUGUGAAUUGCAAAUUCAGUGAAUCAUCGAGUCUUUGAACGCACAUUGCGCCCCCUGGUAUUCCGGGGGGCAUGCCUGUCCGAGCGUCAU
rnacentral:rRNA from 1 species